UACGAAGGGGGCUAGCGUUGCUCGGAAUCACUGGGCGUAAAGCGCACGUAGGCGGCUUCUUAAGUCAGACGUGAAAUCCCUCAGCUUAACUGGGGAACUGCGUCUGAUACUGGUUGGCUUGAGUGCAGGAGAGGAACGCGGAAUUCCAGGUGUAGCGGUGAAAUGCGUAGAUAUCUGGAGGAACACCGGUGGCGAAGGCGGCGUUCUGGACUGCAACUGACACUGAGGAACGAAAGCCAGGGGAGCAAACGGG
rnacentral:rRNA from 1 species